UUAGAUACCCUGGUAGUCCACGCCGUAAACGAUGAUCACCAGGUGUCGGGGGUUAACAGACCCCCGGUGCCGAAGCCAACGCAUUAAGUGAUCCACCUGGGGAGUACGUUCGCAAGAAUGAAACUCAAAGGAAUUGACGGGGACCCGCGCAAGCGGUGGAGCAUGUGGUUUAAUUCGAAGCAACGCGAAGAACCUUACCCGGCCUUGACAUCCUCCUGGAUGUCCGGUAAUGCGGACAGACCUUCGGGGCAGGAGAGACAGGUGGUGCAUGGUUGUCGUCAGCUCGUGUCGUGAGAUGUUGGGUUAAGUCCCGCAACGAGCGCAACCCUUAUCCCCAGUAGCCAGCAGGAGAGCUGGGCACUCUGGGGAGACAGCCGGGGAUAACCCGGAGGAAGGUGGGGAUGACGUCAAAUCAUCAUGCCCCUUAUGGCCGGGGCGACACACGUGCUACAAUGGCGUAAACAAAGGGAAGCGAGCCGGUGACGGUGGGCAAAUCCCAAAAAUAACGUCCCAGUUCGGAUUGUAGUCUGCAACCCGACUACAUGAAGCUGGAAUCGCUAGUAAUCGCGGAUCAGAAUGCCGCGGUGAAUACGUUCCCGGGUCUUGUACACACCGCCCGUCACACCAUGGNGAGUCNGAAAUGCCCGAAGUCAGUGACCCAACCGGAAGGANNGGACUGCCGAANGCCAGUCCCGUAACUGGGGUGAAGUCGUAACAAGG
rnacentral:rRNA from 1 species